UCAAUUUCCAUCCCCAAAUCAUUUCAUAUUCCCGCUCAAUCCCUUAACCCCUUAUCAAUUUCCCUCUCAUUCUCACCAAAAAAACAAUUUCCCCCGCUCUAAUUUUUCUCUCCAAAAUCUCGUCCAUUGCUGUUUGAAUACUACCAGUUCACUGCACCGACCAAAGACGAUUGUGCUCCUAUCUAAUCCAUCAUAAAUCUCUAAUUUUAAUUGCUGUGCUCCUUGUUUUCUUUCUAAAUGUUGAUGGAUUUGUGUGCAAUUUCUGUUUUGAGGUGCACUUUAGUGUCCAAUCUCACAAAAACCGGGUUCAAUUCACAUAUAUACACCGCUACAGCCCUUACAGACAUGUACAUGAAGUUUAAACAUCAGUUUCUAUAUAGUGCACUCAAGGUGUUCGACGAAAUUACUGAACCAAAUACCACUUCAAUUAACGUUGUUAUUUUUGGGUUUUGUCAGAAUGGGUGUUACAAGAAGGCUUUUGAGGUUUUUAAACGGUUUAGCGAGUUUAAAGUUAGGCCCGAUUCGGUUACAGUUGCUAACUUGUUGACGGGUUGUGACGUUUCAGUUAAAGAUGGCCAGCAGGUUCAUUGCUGGGCUGUUAAGAUUGGCGUUGAAACUGAUAUUUAUGUAGCAACCUCACUUGUUACAAGGUACUUUAACUGCAAACAGCCUCUAACUGCAUCGGUUGUUUUUAAACGAAUUGGUCGAAAAAAACUGUAGCUUGCUGUAACGUGUAUGUUACUGGUUUGUUGCAGAAUCGGAUUGUUGAACCUGUGUUUAAAGUAUUUAAACAAAUGCUGCAACGAUCAGCCCACGACGCGAAUACUGUCAAGUUUGUUUCUGUGUUAUCUGCUUGUUCGGGUAGAACAAGAAUUUUAAAUUCGGGGUGCAAGUUCACAGGCUUCUCGUGAAAGUCGAUUUAGUACUCAAUUUGUUAGUCGGAACUGCGCUUUUGGACAUGUAUUCGAAAGGUGGAUAUUGGUAUCGGGCUUAUGAUGUGUUUAAAGAGCUCGCAAAAUCAGGAGUUUAAUCACAUGGAAUUCAAUGAUAUCCGGGAUGAUGCUAAACGGCGAAAGCGAAAGCACUAUCGGUUUGUGCAUGAUGUUAGAAUCUAACGGGCUUAAACCGGAUGAAGCGUUCUUGAUCUUUAGAAAAAUGCAGUCGACUGGAGAACCCGUGAGUACGAAAUCAUUAACUAGUUUGUUAUCGGCUUGUGCGUCUGUAUCGUCAUUAGCAAGUGGAAAAGAGAUCCAUGGUUAUGUUAUUAGAACAAAUAUGAAUAACGAUGACAUUCUUGCCACUGCGGUUAUUAAUAUGUACAUGAAAUGUGGGCGUUCGUCAUGGGCGUUUUCGGUAUUCAGGGCCGGCCCAUGGGCCAGUAAAGUCAAGCUAGGGCUUUAGGCCCCCAAUUUAUAUAGCCUCCAUAAAAAAAAUUACAUAGGGUGUCUGCGGUUUGGGCUAAAAAGGGUGAGCUUAAGAGGAAUUAGUUGGGCUGCGUAGUCUGGACAUAUGCAAUGAGCGGACAUUAGCAGCAACGCAUUAAUUCAAAUACGGUUUGCAGUGCCUUUUUGAUAAAAACGAGCAGACAGAAGCUAAAGGUAAUCACGCAAUCAAUAUCGAAAUAGAAAUCCAAGUUGUUCGGUUUUGAUUAGCAGUUUGGGUCAAUCAAAUUCGUCAAUAGAAGUUGUUUUGUUGUGCUUUGCAAUCAUAAUCGUCAACGAAAGCUUUUCUGUUCGAAGGCCUGUUGACAAUCGGUUUUGACUGCCGAUUUCGUAGAGAAGUAGUUAAGACUUAAAGGUACACUAUUAUGUAUUUUUUUCAUCCAAAAUUCUAGCUAAAGUAAUUUGCAGUUGUACAUAUGUUGUUGUCCACAAAUAUUUCAUGCUCAUUUUGACUUUGUUUAGAUUGUAGUUGAAACCCAAAUGCACAUGCUAUUCAUAGAUAACAUUAUCUUUUUCUUUUGACCUAGGAAGCAUAAUAUAUUACAAUUUAUUUUGAUGCUCGAGUUAUGAUAUUUAUGUAACUGGCUAAGGUCCGUUUCUUUUUGAGCCGCAUUUGGGUGAAAAAUUACAAACUUAUAGUUUUGUUUUCUGGAAAAGAAGUAGAAGUUUUAAGUCUUUACGUUCCAAACCAGUAUGCAGGCUUUUUUUAAUAUGCUCUUUUCCAAGUUAUGAGUUUUUUUAUGCACUAUUAACAUGAGUCUUUUUUUUUGUCAACACCUUGCUUAAGUUUACUUUCUAAAAAAUGUUUCAAUUUGUUAUUUUGUUAUUGAAUUAACAUUUCCAGGAACACAAAUGUUCUCUAGUGUAUGAACAGGGCCGGCCCUAGGGGUGGGCGAGCCGCACCCCCGGCCGAGGUCCAUUUUUCCAAGGGACAAUUUUUUUUUUUUUUCUAUAUAACCAAGCAUUGAGUGAAACUAUACAUAAAUUUUAAGUGAUCGCUAAAGCCAAAGUAACUGAGUGUUCCAGUGGGUAGGUCUUUUAUUUUAGUUAUUAAACUGAUAAGGUCCCGCGUUCCAAAUCUGUCUUCUGUCCAUUUUUUGCUUUUUUGUUUGGUUAAACGUUGUCUAAGUGCAUUGUGAUUUGUGAAUAGAAGUUCUAAUAUUACUUUCCUUUAAUUUUUAGUACACAUAAAUAUGGAGUAAUUAAUAAACCAAGUUCCAUUGCAUUGGGAUUUGGGAAUAAAAGUCCAACUAGGUCCCUUACAUUUUUACAUGUGCUUUUUUAUUUGGUUUUAUGUGCCUUAGUUGGGUUUAGGUUGCUCUUUGUCCUUGGUUUUUAAGGGUGUUUCUGUUCUGGGUUGUUGCAACCAGUGCCUUACUAGUUUGCCUCUAUGUACUUGUUUUUGUUUUUUAUAUGCAUGGAAGUUAGUCUUGGUUGGGGAAAAAAACCUUAACGAAAAUCUUUAAAAAGGUAAUCAAGAAUAAAAUCAAACACCGAUGAGUUGGCUUUUAAUCCAAUGGCUGCAUCAUAAUAUGAUUUUAAGUUCUUUUCGGUUGGCUCCAGCCAAAUCAUAUAAGUUAAAAAUGAUAGUACGUUUGCUCGAUAUAGGUUGAAAUUAAAGACGUUUUUGUUCAUAAAUUAUUUGAGUUGAUUGCAUUAAGCAAAUGGUGAUUUUUGAAUCCGUUCGGCGUGUUUGGUAUGUAUGUGGCUGUACGCUUUAUGAAUUAGUGCACGCGGAUGAAUUUUACGGCUUUGAGUUGAUGGCGGAUCAUGUCGACAGCAACUCAAUUUUCUUUGCGGCUGAGUUUAGUUAUAUUGAUAGCAUUUGUAGGUUAGAUCUCUAAGUAUCAGAGAAAUGUUGCAAUUUGUUUUUAUAAUAAUCAGAUAGGUUUGAAAUUUAGAAUGUUUCUGAUCUUCAGUGUAUAAAAGUUUUAGUCUUUAUAAGCAUCCUGCUUGAGGGGAAGCCGCUGAUGCGUAAUUUGAAUUGAGUUUUAAAGGAAAAACUGGGAAAAGAGUUACCUUGCUAGGUUAGGGCUCUACUCUGCAUCUUGUUUUUCAUUACUUCAUUUACAUAGUUCCCAUGCAUUCACUGGAAAAGUAGACACUUUACUUUUUGUUUAAGGGUGUGCAAUACGUAUUGCAAGCACUGUGUUUGCAUGUCGAAACACUUGUUAUGAACCAAUCUAUGUGCGAGUGUAUAGUUCAACAUCUGGUAGAUUGUUUGUUUACAUAAACAACUUUUCGGCUGGCCUUUAGGGAUGAGUACAAAAUCUAUACAAUUUUAGUGUCUUAAUUUUUCUUUUAACCACUGGGUGUCAGCCCAGUGGCCACCACACCCCGAAAACACCGUGGGGACUCUGGUUCGACUCCGGUCGCUUGCGUAACCCGCACCUGAUGUCCACUCGGCUGGGGGACUCACCGCCAGGCAGCUAUGUGGUGUGCUAGCCUGUGGAGUUGGAAUACUCCAGUGGUUAAUGGUACCACACAACUACCAUUUUUUUUAGUGUCUUGAAAAAUUUCAGCAUAAUGUAUGGUGUUAUAGACACCAUAACUAUAAUCAAACACUUUAUUAAUUCACCUUUUUACUGGGCUAGGGGUGUCAUACGACCAAUUUCUAGUCGUGUCUUACUUUUGAGUUGCAUAACUUGGAAGCUAAAACCCAUUUUCUAGUUUGUUUUAAUCGAUGAAGUUGAAAGCCUAGCUGCAGCAAGAAAAGCAGCUAUAUCUGGUUCAGAACCUUCAGAUUCUAUAAGGGGUAUCAGGUGGUAAAUGCUCUUCUGACCCAGAUGGACAAGUUGAAAUCCGCACCAAAUGUGAUUAUUCUGACCACAUCGAACAUAACAACUGUUAUUGGUAGGUUUUACUUUUUCUAAGAAGUAAAAUGCCAUUUUCGUCCCUGGGGUUUGGUUACUUUUGCGACUUUCGUCUAAAGGCUCGAGCAGUGCACAAUUCAGUUGUUGAACUACGAAAUAUAUGCAAUCAUCCUUACAUCAGCCAGCUACAUAAUGAAGAGGUUCAUGAACACGUUCCCAAGCAUUAUCUUCCAAAUAUUAUAAGGUUUUGUGGGAAGCUUGAGAUGUUAGAUCGGCUACUGCCCAAGCUUAAAGCCACUGAUCAUCGGGUAUAAUAUUCCAACCUUGGUAAUGUACGUACCGGUGAGAUAUCUGAAUGGGAUUCCAGGUGCAACAUCACUAGUUAUAUGUUUGACAGGAUUUCAAUGUAAAGAUCAAAAGGACAUUAUGGUGAUGUCAGAGAAGCAAUAACAGUACUUGAAUACAUUCUUCCUUCAAUGGCAAGUCAUCAAACAACUGCUACUUCUAAGGUCUGCUACAAAGCUAAAGUCUGAUGGUUUAUAAAGUCUGCUAGAGUUAAACCGCUAAUGAAGACUAAAGGUCUGCUGGAAUCAAAGGUCUAAUCAUCAUUUGAAGAAGGUCUGCUAAAGCUUCAACAGAGGAUAUAGCUCAUCAGAGGAUUGGGUCAUCAGAGUUUUUAAUCAGUGUUUUGUAAUGUAACAGUGUUUAGUCAUAGCAGAGGUUAGGAGUUGUUAUAGUUGUUAGAUGUCAUUGUCUAGGUGACAUCAGCAAAGAUUCCACAGUGGUUUGAUUUGUACUAUAAAUAGAAUAGUGCAUUUACUGUUCUAUUAGGAUCACUUCACACACUUGCAUUUUGUACGAACAAAUUGAGUCAUCUAAGGCUGAGGGGGAGAGUUGUGUCCAUGCAUACGUGAAUCAUUAUGUAUUCAAUCAUUCAGUAUAAAGUAUUCAUGAUGAAAACAAAUCUUCCAUUG